rnacentral:rRNA from 1 species
GAGAUAACUCCUACGGGAGGCAGCAGUGUGGAAUUUUGGACAAUGGGGGCAACCCUGAUCCAGCAAUGCCGCGUGAGUUAAGAAGGCCUUCGGGUUGUAAAGCUCUUUUGUCAGGGAAGAAACGGUAGUAGCUAAUAUCUAUUACUAAUGACGGUACCUGAAGAAUAAGCACCGGCUAACUACGUGCCAGCAGCCGCGGUAAUACGCAGGGUGCAAGCGUUAAUCGGAAUUACUGGGCGUAAAGCGUGCGCAGGCGGUUGUGUAAGUCAGAUGUGAAAUCCCCGGGCUCAACCUGAGAAUUGAAUGUGAGACUAGAAGGCUAGAGUGUGUCAGAGGGGGGUAGAAUUCCACGUGUAGCAGUGAAAUGCGUAGAUAUGUGGAGGAAUACCGAUGGCGAAGGCAGCCCCCUGGGAUAACACUGACGCUCAUGCACGAAAGCGUGGGGAGCAAACAGGAUUAGAUACCCUUGUAGUCCUCCACU